UACGGAGGGGGCUAGCGUUGUUCGGAAUUACUGGGCGUAAAGCGCACGUAGGCGGCUUUGUAAGUUAGAGGUGAAAGCCCGGGGCUCAACUCCGGAAUUGCCUUUAAGACUGCAUCGCUAGAAUUGUGGAGAGGUAAGUGGAAUUCCGAGUGUAGAGGUGAAAUUCGUAGAUAUUCGGAAGAACACCAGUGGCGAAGGCGGCACUCUGGGCCGGUACUGACGCUGAGGAGCGAAAGCGUGGGGAGCCGAACGAGG
rnacentral:rRNA from 1 species